rnacentral:rRNA from 1 species
AUGAAGUUAAGAUCGGAGCUUGACAUUAGCAGGGACAAAGAUAUCAAGACAAAGGAUUUGAGGAAUAAGCUCAAGGUGCUCGUCAAGGAUCCUAGCAAAGAUGACCUUGCUCUGAAAGUGUUCUUCAUUAUUGUGUUUAUGAAGGUUAUGUUGCCUGGAUCUGCCCCGCGUGUUUCCAGAGAGGCAGCAAUGUUUGAGGGUCUCGUCUUUGAGGACAUGGCUAAUAUGGAUUAUUGCCAGCUGAUGGUUGAUGAGCUUAGAAGGGCUGUUGCCAAGUACCGAAGUGGUCAUACCAUGGGGAAGGCAAUCAUAGGCUGUGCCAUAGGGCCUGUAUUAAUGUACCUUGACUGCCUUAUCUGUGGCAAAACUGUGGAGCCUGACAUGCGAGUCCCCCGCAUAUGUUACAUGGAUCCUGCCAAGCUUUCUGAUCUGGUUGAUGCAGAUUUGAUAAAAAAGCAAUGCAGAUCCAAAGACUUGGGUGUUUGGGAAGCUUCCGUAAUGCUAGUGCUUCACAGAGGCAGGGUUUUGGUAUUGAUGUUGCUGUUUCAGCGUUGGAGCGCGCUGAGCAUAUCUUAA